UGGGGAAUCUUGGACAAUGGGCGCAAGCCUGAUCCAGCCAUGCCGCGUGAGUGAAGAAGGCCUUCGGGUUGUAAAGCUCUUUUUACCAGGGACGAUAAUGACGGUACCUGGAGAAUAAGCCCCGGCAAACUUCGUGCCAGCAGCCGCGGUAAUACGAAGGGGGCUAGCGUUGUUCGGAAUUACUGGGCGUAAAGCGCACGUAGGCGGAUUGUUAAGUCAGAGGUGAAAUCCCGGAGCUCAACUUCGGAACAGCCUUUGAUACUGGCAAUCUAGAGUCCGGAAGAGGUUAGUGGAAUUCCCAGUGUAGAGGUGAAAUUCGUAGAUAUUGGGAAGAACACCAGUGGCGAAGGCGGCUAACUGGUCCGGUACUGACGCUGAGGUGCGAAAGCGUGGGGAGCAAACAGGAUUAGAUACCCCCGUAGUCCCUGAGCGGGCUGGCAAGGCGCAU
rnacentral:rRNA from 1 species